GUGGACAUCGGUGGGGAAGGGUUCACCGAACUCGUUCACUCGGGUAGGAGUCACGAUCUCGUACUCGCUGAGCUUCUCCAGCAGCUGGGCUGCGAGGGGACAGACGCAUAUGCCGCUGAGUGAGGUGGCCGAGCCCCGCGGCCCCGGGGGGCGGCAGCGCAGCGCUCCCCGCGCCCCUCCCCGAGCGCCCCUUACCUUGCCUGGGGUGCAGCUUCUGCCUCCUCGCUCCCGUCCUCAAGCCGUCGAUGAAGAGCGUGUCGCAGGUUUUGGUCAAGAAAAGCCAUCGCUGGAGCUGGACGGAGCGGGCGAGCCGUGGCUCCGCACGCCCGGCUCCGGCGCCCGCUCCCCGCCGGCUCCUUCCAAAAGGUUUUAAAAUCCCAAAGUAGCCCGGGCUGAGCGGCACCGGCAGCUGCCUCCUCUGCCAGGCAGUUGAAGAAGUGGACCAGCAAUUGAAGAAUCCCCUGUGUGGCACUUCUUAUAGCAGUUGUUUUCUUCUACAUUCUCAGAUAAGAGGCAAUUCAAGCAACUUUUGUUCAGGAUUAGAUUGGUGUUGUGCACUUUUCAGGCACCCUGAGGGAAAAAGAAAGAUUAUAUCCUUGUCUGAGUUUAUUUUAUUUUAUUUUGCAGUUUGAAAGGUCUCUGUAAAAAAUUUUUUUAGAGCUAAAUGUAAUUAAAUAUUGUCUUCUACCCCUUACUCAAAUCAAAAUCCCCAUUCUUGGUUUAAAAGGCUUUUAAACCUUCAAAGCCUGUGAGCAAGGCAAAAGAGAAGUUUGGAAGUUCAAUUUGCACUUCCACAGAAAAUGUCAAAGUUCUUUACAUUCUUUGCUCAACUUUGGGACAAGGCAUAGAAAUGCUGGUAUUUGCUGCAGAAGGGGAAAGUUUUAAAAUAAAAAUUAAUUCAGAAUCCACUUCUGGGCGAAAUGACACCACCUGAUUCUUCAAAACAACUGGUGAAGUCCUACAGACCUCAACUAUUAGGAGUCAGUUAUUAAUUUUUUAUGAUGAGUAUAAAAGUCAGAGUAAGUAAAGCAUCACCUGAAAAGCUGUGCAUCUUCAGCCCUGUUACUGGCUGGCCAGGCUUGAAGGGCUGGGAGACAGAGCCUCAGCAGAGCAGGCAUCUCCAGGAUUGUGGAGACCCAAGUCAGCACACCCUUAGGGCAAGGUGUAAUGGCACACAACCUCCCUGCAUGGCAUUGUGCCCACCCUUAUAAACCAGGUUUAAUUAAAAUCUUGGAUACUUACAGUGAGAUAACUCACCCAUAUCUCUUAGGGUGAUUGCAGAGCACCCUGAGCCCUGACCACUGUCCUACAACAUCCAUAUGUGCCCCAAAACUUUCAGUCUUCACAGAGAGAGAUACACAGAGGGUGCUUAGCUUGGGAUAAUGCUCCAGAAAUCAUGGCAGGAGAAGGAAGGGUAGGCUGUAUCCCUAACUCAGGUGGGUGUGGACACAUUUCCCAGGAGUGCCAAGGGGAGCCUGUGCUGCCAGUUGGGCGUGUGGAGCAAUAUUGAGCAGUCGAUCAGCAAAGGGGGAGUGAGGAAAGUGAGCCGAGUUGCCUGAGGUAGGAGAGGUGAAAAGCUGAGCAUAGCAUUAGGGCUGAGUCAGAGGGGAGGGGAGGAGGCUUACGUGGAGCUAGUCCUGCCUGGUGUCCUGGGAAAGAGGGGUGCAGCCUUCAGUCCUCAAAUCAGCAUAGUGUUGAGAAACACACGUCUGGUUUAUCUGGGCCACAGGGUGCCCCAGGGCAUCCCCAUCACACAAACAUCCCACAUCCCACCACUCUCAGCCUCAGCAUCCCCCGUGCCACAUCAGGUGCUGGUGAGAGCUGCCUUGCUUCUGUUCAACUCACUGUCACAGGAAAACCUACCAAAGCUUUGGAGUGUUUUUUUCUCUUUAGUUUUCUACAAGGUGGCCAGUUAAUCUGGCUCUGGGGUGAGGUUUGAUGGAGCUCAGGAGCCGGUACAGGGUGAGAAGUGGCAGCACACACCUGUGACUUGGUUGGGUAGGACCCUUUUUGGCACUGAGCUGAAUGGAGCAAGGUUGUUUUUGUGGAGCAUCCUCACAGCCCCACCCACUGAUCUGAAGCCACCAACCUGAGGGAAGGCAAGGAAUACAACUCCAUCAUUCAGAAGAGGGGAUCCAACUCCUGGGACUCCAUUAUGGGGCAGAUUUGGGAGUGGUCUGAAU